rnacentral:rRNA from 1 species
CUACGGGAGGCAGCAGUGGGGAAUAUUGCACAAUGGAGGAAACUCUGAUGCAGCAACGCCGCGUGGAGGGUGACACUUUUCGGAGCGUAAACUCCUUUUAUAUAGGAAGAAGAUGACGGUACUAUAUGAAUAAGCGCCGGCUAACUCCGUGCCAGCAGCCGCGGUAAUACGGAGGGCGCAAGCGUUACUCGGAAUCACUGGGCGUAAAGAGCGUGUAGGCGGAUUAAAAAGUCAGAAGUGAAAUCCUAUAGCUUAACUAUAGAACUGCUUCUGAAACUCUUAAUCUAGAAUAUGGGAGAGGUAGAUGGAAUCUCUGGUGUAGGGGUAAAAUCCGUAGAGAUCAGAAGGAAUACCAAUUGCGAAGGCGAUCUACUAGAACAUUAUUGACGCUGAGACGCGAAAGCGUGGGGAGCAAACAGGAUUAGAUACCCGCGUAGUC